rnacentral:tRNA from 3 species
GCGAGUGUAGCUCAGGGGUAGAGCAUUACCUUGCCAAGGUAAGGGCCGAGGGUUCGAAUCCCUUCACUCGCUCCA